rnacentral:rRNA from 1 species
AGCAGCCGCGGUAAUUCCAGCUCCAAUAGCGUAUAUUAAAGUUGUUGCAGUUAAAAAGCUCGUAGUUGAAUUUCGGAAUUUGUCGGUUGGUCGGGCUUCAUUGUCCGCACUGGCCUGAUGGAUUCCUACCUUCUGAAUAACCAGCAUGCUAUUAAUUUAGUGCGUUGGGGAAGCAGAGCUAUUACCUUGAAAAAAUUAGAGUGCUUAAAGCAGGCUCACGCUUGAAUAGAUUAGCGUGGAAUAAUAAAAUAGGACGGCUUGGUUCUAUUUUGUUGGUUUCUAGGAUCACCGUAAUGAUUAAUAGGGAUAGUUGGGGGCAUUAGUAUUCAAUUGUCAGAGGUGAAAUUCUUGGAUUUAUUGAAGACUAACUUCUGCGAAAGCAUUUGCCAAGGAUGUUUUCAUUAAUCAAGAACGAAAGUUAGGGGAUCGAAGACGAUCAGAUACCGUCGUAGUCUUAACCAUAAACUAUGCCGACUAGGGAUCGGACGAUGUUAAUUUUUUAAUGACUCG